AUUGAACGCUGGCGGCAGGCCUAACACAUGCAAGUCGAGCGGUUGAGGUAGCUUGCUACCGAUGCAGCGGCGAACGGGUGAGUAAUACAUGGGAAUCUGCCUGGUAGUGGGGGACAACGUCUCGAAAGGGACGCUAAUACCGCAUACGCCCUACGGGGGAAAGGGGGGGAUCUUCGGACCUCUCGCUAUCAGAUGAGCCCAUGUCAGAUUAGCUAGUUGGUGGGGUAAAGGCUCACCAAGGCGACGAUCUGUAACUGGUCUGAGAGGAUGAUCAGACACACUGGAACUGAGACACGGUCCAGACUCCUACGGGAGGCAGCAGUGGGGAAUAUUGGACAAUGGGCGCAAGCCUGAUCCAGCCAUGCCGCGUGUGUGAAGAAGGCCUUAGGGUUGUAAAGCACUUUCAGUGGGGAGAAAGGUAAUUCACCUAAUACGUGAGUUAAUUGAUGUUACCCACAGAAGAAGCACCGGCUAACUCCGUGCCAGCAGCCGCCGUAA
rnacentral:rRNA from 1 species